rnacentral:lncRNA from 1 species
CCAGCAGUUAAAAUGAUGAAUGAAUGAGUAACUGCAAUUCAGUGGAGUCGGUUGACUCAAGGAUGGACUUAAGUCAGAGAGCUGAGCAAGAGGCUCGGGAAGGGAAGAGCCAGGCAGGAGGAACAGCGUGUGCAAAGACAUGAUGGUGAGGCUUGGAUUGGGCAAGAGCUUGGAUUCUUUCAGGAAGCCCUUGGAGGAUUCUAAGUAUCCAACCAACAUGAUCUGAUUUGCAUUUUAGAUCAUCUAUAUGGAGAAUGCCUUUGUUCAUUCUACUUCUUAACACAUUUCAUAAACAAGCCCUGCUGUACACGAGCGCUGCGCUGGGUCUAGACAGGCCCCAUCCAGAGGAAACACAAUUCUUUGAAAUCUGGAGUUUUACUUGUACAGCACAUCUCCAUGUGUCCUUGGCACAUUUCAAGUGUUCAGUGUCUCCGAGACAAGCCGCUGCCAUACUGAAUGGUGUACGGGGUACCAAACGUGUGGCCAAGGGGCAACUGGCAAUACCAGGAGACAUUUUGACUGUCACAACUUGGGGAAAGGGUACUCCUGGCAUCUCAUGAGUAGAGGCCACAGAUGCUGCUAACAUGGCGCAUGGCACAGCAACAAAGAUUUAUCCAGCCAGAAACAUCAGCAGUACUGAGGUUGAAGAACCCAGAUCCAGAGAGAUGCCAUAGAGUCUUGCAGUGAGCCCUGAGAUGCCCUGGCAUUUAAGGACUCCUGGCUGAUGUCAUCUCUAAAUAUGCAGCUUUAAUUGCUCCUCUCUACAGCAGCAAGGGAAAAGGAGAUCUUCGUUUCUUGUUUUCAGCAC